UUUUGGGUUUAAAAUUGUAAUAUAUAUUAUAACUUAACCUACCUCUUGCAUCCGUACAUAUCAAUCUUGACUACAUUAAAGUCAUGGGAGUUGAUAUACAGCUCAGGUGGGCUCUAUUCUGUCCCAUCUUAUAACAUAUACCUAUCCUGUCCAUACUCUUCCUUUACACUUUCAUUUACGCCAAACUUACUUCCUAAAGAUCUAUCGGAAAUUCAAGCUACCAAAUCCCACCUUGCCUUCUUCCUACUUCUUUACCAUAUUUACCAAAUAUAUUGAUACGUCCAUUGUUUUAUCAUAUAAUAACCAAAAUAUUUGGACUUUCUUCUGUUGAAUUUUAAGGGGAAAACUGGGAGAGAAUAAGCAG
rnacentral:lncRNA from 1 species